rnacentral:rRNA from 1 species
UACGUAGGGGGCAAGCGUUAUCCGGAUUUACUGGGUGUAGAGGGAGCGUAGACGGAAUAGCAAGUCUGAAGUGAAAUCAUGGAGCUCAACUCCGUAAUUGCUUUAGAAACUGUUGAUCUUGAGUGCCGGAGGGGCAGGCGGAAUUCCUGGUGUAGCGGUGAAAUGCGUAGAUAUCAGGAAGAACACCGGUGGCGAAGGCGGCCUGCUGGACGGUAACUGACGUUGAGGCUCGAAAGCGUGGGGAGCAAAC